rnacentral:rRNA from 1 species
GACGAACGCUGGCGGCGUGCUUAACACAUGCAAGUCGAACGGUGAAGCGCCUUCCUUUUUGGUGGGUGUGGAUGAGCGGCGAACGGGUGAGUAACACGUUAGUCACCUGCCCCCUUCUUCUUGAUAACCGCAUGAAAGUGUGGCUAAUACGGGAUAUUCUGAGUCUGUUGCAUGAUGGGUCUGGGAAAGUUUUUGUUUCGGUUGGGGAUGGGCUCGCGGCCUAUCAGCUUGUUGGUGGGGUGAUGGCCUACCAAGGCGGUGACGGGUAGCCGGCCUGAGAGGGUCGGCGGCACAAGUGGGACGGAGACGCGGCCCAGACUCCUACGGGAGGCAGCAGGGGGGAAUAUUGCACAAUGGGCGGAAGGCUGAUGCAGCGACGCCGCGGGGGGGAUGGAGGCCGGCGGGUUGUGAACCGCUUUCGCGAGUGAAGCAGGCCUGCCUCGUUUGUGGGUGGGUUGACGGUAGCUGGAGAAGAAGCGCCGGCUAACUACGUG